rnacentral:rRNA from 1 species
UACUCCUACGGGAGGCAGCAGUAAGGAAUAUUGGACAAUGGGCGAGAGCCUGAUCCAGCCAUCCCGCGUGCAGGAAGACUGCCCUAUGGGUUGUAAACUGCUUUUAUAAGGGAAGAACGGCUACGAUUUAUCGUGGUAUGA